CAAUUAGCACCGAACGUGAGUCACUUCUAACUGAUGAUAAGGCACAAGUACAAGAUAGGAAAUUAAUCCGAUGUAUCGCCACAUAUGAUGCAGGUUGGGAUUUCAUGAUGGGUACAUUGAAGCGCUUCUGGCCCAUCUUGACAUCUGACCCACAAGUGAAAGAGGUAGUCACCACAUUCCCCUCUGUGACAGCACGGAGGGGUAAAAAACCUACGAGAUACGUUGGUACAGAGUCAUUUACCCCCUCUUAAAAGAGGGUUUCAAAACUAUUUGCCCAAAGGGACGUAUAGGUGCGGACAUUGCAGUGCAUGCGGAUUUAUCGAUCAAAAAUCUAAGGAAUUCACGGACAGCAAUAAUAGAGAAACCUUUCCAGUCCGUUCGUUUGUUAAUUGUAGGACGGAGGGUGUUAUCUAUUUACUUACCUGUUCAUGUGGCAUUAAAUAUGUGGGGAAAACGUUUAGACCCUUCAAAUUAAGGAUUCGGGAACAUGUAAAUUCGGUCAGAAGACCCUUAGAAACUCCAAUCUCACGCCAUUUGAGAAUUCACCAUUCAAAUUCUGC